ACUCUCUCACUCUGCAUAGUUACACUAGGUAUUGCCCGUGUGACUUUCGUACGGGGAGAGAGAGAAAACGAGUUCCUCUAGUGCCUUGGAUUGGCCUUACAGUGGCCUCUCUUGCCUAGUGGAACACCACAGGG
rnacentral:snoRNA from 1 species